rnacentral:rRNA from 1 species
GACGAACCGUGCGAACGUUGUUCGGAAUCACUGGGCUUAAAGGGCGCGUAGGCGGCGUGCGAGGUCGGGGGUGAAAUCCCUCAGCUUAACUGUGGAAGAGCCUUCGAUACCGGCGCGCUGGAGGAAGGUAGGGGUGCGCGGAACUUCUGGUGGAGCGGUGAAAUGCGUUGAUAUCAGAAGGAACGCCGGCGGCGAAAGCGGCGCACUGGACCUUUUCUGACGCUGAGGCGCGAAAGCCAGGGGAGCAAACGGG